rnacentral:rRNA from 1 species
UACGGGGGGAGCAAGCGUUGUUCGGAUUUACUGGGCGUAAAGGGCGCGUAGGCGGUCAGCACAAGUCAAUUGUGAAAUCUCCGAGCUUAACUCGGAAAGGUCAACUGAAACUGUGCGACUAGAGUGCGGAAGGGGCAACUGGAAUUCCUGGUGUAGCGGUGGAAUGCGCAGAUAUCAGGAGGAACACCAAUUGCGAAGGCAGCUCGCUGGGACGUUACUGACGCUGAGACGCGAAAGCGUGGGGAGCAAACAGG